rfam:Canis lupus familiaris chromosome 4, whole genome shotgun sequence.
GCCUGGGUGGCUCAGUGGUUGAGCAUCUGCCUUUGGCUCAGGUUGUGACUCCAGGGUCCUGGGAUUGAGUCCCACAUCAGGCU